ensembl:lncRNA
CUUGUAUUUUGAUAUAUAGCCCAGCUCAGGUCACGGGGAGACACGUCCUCCUAACCUUGUUUUGCUUCCGGGUGCCCAUCAGUUUGUAUGGUGGCGUGGGAUUGCAAAUUGCACUACUUGGACUAAUGCUGUUACCGAAGCACGAGUGGUUCAUUGUCGCGACAAAGCCGGUGUAGCGGUUGCUCUGACGCCGGGUGCUCGGUGGGAAUCAGCUGGAGCUCCGUCCAUGACUCGCUGUCCCUGAGUGUGCAGUCAUUGCAGCUCGGCACGUUGAGCUGAGGGUCAUCCACUGCCUCCACCCGGGAAGGGCUGCUGUUCUGUUUUACUGUCAAAUACAUGUUUAUAAUUGACCGGCAUGCUCAUGCUUGGUGUGUAUCUCUCUGUGAUUUCCUGCAUGCAUGGGGCUAGGCUGGGUAUGCUACCUUCCAUCUCCGCUUGCUCUGCCUGAUAUUGUUUUGUUGGUUUCUUUUGAUUUGAUGCAUGGGGCUGUGCAGUGGGCUGCUGCUUUUCCCUCUCUGCUUGGCCUGCAUGUUUUGUUGUUUUGUGCUGCUGCUAUGUUAACUAUGGUGGUGGUAAUUCUGAAUGAUUGUUAACUAGCCUAACCGUGUCUUUGCUGAAGUGCGUGCGUGUGCCUCUG